GACGAACGCUGGCGGCGUGCCUAAUACAUGCAAGUAGAACGCACAGUUUAUACCGUAGCUUGCUACACCAUAGACUGUGAGUUGCGAACGGGUGAGUAACGCGUAGGUAACCUGCCUGGUAGCGGGGGAUAACUAUUGGAAACGAUAGCUAAUACCGCAUAAUAUUGAUUAUUGCAUGAUAAUUGAUUGAAAGAUGCUAUUGCAUCACUACCAGAUGGACCUGCGUUGUAUUAGCUAGUAGGGGAGGUAACGGCUCACCUAGGCGACGAUACAUAGCCGAGCUGAGAGGGUGAUCGGCCAAACUGGGACUGAGACACGGCCCAGAAUACUACGGGAGGCAGCAGUAGGGAAUCUUCGGCAAUGGACGAAAGUCUGACCGAGCAACGCCGCGGGAGUGAAGAAGGUUUUCGGAUCGUAAAGCUCUGUUGUAAGAGAAGAACGGGUGGGAGAGUGGAAAGUUCACACUGUGACGGUAACUUACCAGAAAGGGACGGCUAACUACGUG
rnacentral:rRNA from 1 species